rnacentral:rRNA from 1 species
CCUACGGGAGGCAGCAGUGGGGAAUAUUGGGCAAUGGGCGCAAGCCUGACCCAGCAACGCCGCGUGAAGGAAGAAGGCCUUCGGGUUGUAAACUCCUUUUUUCAGGGACGAAGAAAGUGACGGUACUUGAGGACUAAGCCUAGGCUAACUACGUGCCAGCAGCCGCGGCAAUACGUAGGGGGCAAGAGUUAUCCGGAUUUAUUGGGAGUAAAGGGCGUGUAGGCGGGAGCGCAAAGCAGAUGGGAAAACUCAGCGCUCAACCCUGAGCCUGCAGUUGAAACUGUGUUUCUUGAGUGCUGGAGAGGCAGUCGGAAUUCCGUGUGUAGCGGUGAAAUGCGUAGAUAUACGGAGGAACACCGGUGGCGAAGGCGGAUUGCUGGACAGUGACUGACGCUGAGGCGCGAAGGCGUGGGUAGCAAACAGGAUUAGAUACCCCGGUAGUC